GGAGUUGGCAGCUCAGUGGUAGGGUGCAUACUUUGUGUGUAUGAUGUGCUGGGUUCAAUCCACAGCUUCUCCC
rnacentral:tRNA from 1 species